rnacentral:lncRNA from 1 species
ACAAACAUCAUAAAAAAAUGCCUCAAAGAUUGCAUAAAGUAUAUACCUCAAAGAAAAUUAAAAAUAUUGGCAAAGUUCUAACUUUAAUUCAAUAGUCAGCCUCAUCUCAUAUUGGAUUCCUGUGUUGUGUGUGAAUCAAUUCAAUUAAAACUUAUUCUCAAAAUCUUCAACAUCAACAGCCCUUGUAUUGAAUAAUAAACAGAGUAUGUCAAACUAACCUCAUCAUCUUAAUUUUUUUUUCACAGGCAUAAAUUUGCAUUUUCUUUUUAUUUUUCUUGAUGCACGUUCUUAUUUUUCUUUUUUUUUCUUUUCUUUGUUCAUAGUCAGGAGCUUUCACUCUACCUCUUAAGGUAGCCUUCUUCUCAUGGUAGAUUAUCCUCUACAUUCUGGUGGUACAUAGGCCCAAAUUACUCAAUGAUAGCUUCACUCUUAAGGGUUAUAGGUAGCUAUUUCUGACUAUGGUGCCUGGGUAAACUUAAGUAAUGUAGAAUCAAGGUAAACAGUCAUUUACUCAAUCUAAAAUUCUCAACUCAGGCUGUAUCAAUCUCAAAUCUCAAGUCAAAAUUCUGAAAGAAUCGAUAUAAGUGCGCAAAAUAUUUAAAGAAUCACAAUCAAGACGAAACUAACACAAGAAUCAAGUAUAAACUAAGACAAUAUUCAUCCCUUUCUAAGAACCAUAUUCAUUUUCA